CUUCCAUUUCGUUCUUUUUCGUUACUUUCUUCCAUAACGAGAUAACGAGGCAAAAGGCGAGGCACCGUGACUCAGGCGGUGAACGGCACUGCUUCCCUUCACUGCCUCGCCUGAACCAGCUGAACACCGAUGCCAGAUUAUCGUACUCAGAACCUCGUAUUUACCGGUUUCUGAGCCAUAGCUAUUGCCAGAAACACCAAUAAUUAACGAUUUUAACGAUAACUAUAUAUGAAGGCAGUUAUUUGGGUCGAGGAGGCAGUUUCGAGUCAGAAAUUAGCAAACAUGGGAGGCUGAGUACGACAAUCUGGCAACGUUGCAGCUGACGGAUCACAGGUAUGGCAAACACUCCGGACAAACGAGGGAAUUUAGUCAUGAAGGUAAAUUUGUUCAUAAUGCUUUCUAUUCUUUUAUUAGUGAUUCUGUUUUGUUAUUUGAAUGUAGUGAUUAUUGAUAUUGGACUUUUGUAACUGAUGUAGCGAUUAAUACAGUAGGCUAAAUUCGUCUUUUCUUUGGUAGUGAAAAAAAGAAAAACAAGUUAGGCUAUAUAGAGCUUUCGAAGAACUUGAGAUAAUAAUAGAGAUAAUAAGAAACAAAACGAAAUCACAAUAAGAAAAAAAUAAACGCUAUAACAAAAUGCGUAAAGGAAUUCUAACAUCAUUUCCUUUCCCUAUAAACAACAGAAUCAUAAACAAGAUAGAAAAUAAAAACAAAACAGAAGAGAAACCAUAACCAAACACAAUAAUAAUAAUAACAAAAAACAAACAAAAAGCAAAUCCAUAUUAAAAAAAAAAGUUUUGCCAGGAUCGUUUCUCAUCCUCGCCACGUCACACCGCCACCCCCAUCUGGCGGCGUGCAGUGCAAGCUUAGGGAAGGGAGGGGGAGGUUUGCGUGCACCGCCUGUGAUAUUACUUUGGUUCUUUUCUCCUGGUGGCGGCGGCGGCGGCGGAGUGGACGAGUGGAGCAGCGGCGAGCGGCGAGUGCAGGUGGAGUUGUAAUAAACACCGUAGCAGAGGAAGAAGAAGAUACAGAAAAAGAACAAGAAAAUGAAUAACAAAAACAACAAAACAAGAAAACAGCAAACCACACACACACAAACACAUCGAGCGGCGAGGCUGAUGGCGGAUGAGGCGGACAGGUGUGUGGGCCGCGCAGUUUGGAUUAACGCCGCCACCAGAAGCAUGUGUUUGGGAGAGGAAGAAAGAGGAAGAGUAGGAGAAAGAAGGAAGAGGGAGAAAGGGGAGGAGAAAGACGGAAGAGAGAGAAAGGUGAGGAGAAAGAAGAGGAAGAGUAGGAGAAAGAAGGAGGUGGGCUUAUGCCAACCUCCGAGAGUCACCACGCGGGACACGAGAACGGUGCUAUCCCGUGGUGACGCAGUGGAGGUGCCGUGUUCCCGUACCAGCCAGCACCAACGCACCUUUUCGGGAAGAGUCUGCCGGAUGUGGAACAUGUUCACGGCCUGUGUACCAAACAUCCGGGAGAUGAACACCCAAAAAAUAAAACUGUCGGCCCACCAAUGGAGGGGUUCACUCCCCACUCCACUGACACUCGUGGUGGAGCAGUGACACGAGUGUAGUG